GUUGUGUGUGUAGAAAUGAAGAAUCAGUUGUUCAUAUGGACUAUCUGAAACGAUUGUUGGAGUUUCGGGUAGAAAUGAAGCUUCAUCGUAACUGAAGAAGCGAUUCCACAACACAUUCAUACGCCAAACGCGACAUAACACAUUUCAUUUUUCAUCACAAACCCUAAUUCACAUCGAGAUCCGAACGAGUAUAGUAGAGUUUCGGAGAGAUCCGAAUCUUCAAUGGCACAUCGAAGAGUGAAAUUGCUGUUCCUUCUCUGCGCUCUUUGUUAUGCCCUUAAUUCCUUUGCCGCGUAAUUUUCAUGCUUUCGGUUUUUUCAUUUCCGUUUCUCUGUUUGCGAUUUCUUUGGAAAAUUCUGUAUUUGUUUGUUUGAUGUUUUCGUAUGCAGAAAGAGCUAUUACGAUAUACUGCAAGUGUCGAAGAGUGCGGGGAUGAUCAGAUUAAGAGAGCGUAUAGGAAACUGGCAUUGAAGUAUCAUCCUGAUAAGAAUCCGAGGAAUGAAGAAGCUAAUAAGAAAUUCGCGGAGAUUAACAAUGUGUGAUGGUUGCAGAGAAUCUAGAGGAACAUGUGGUACAAAUCAGAAUGAUUCUUCUCAUUUUUCUUGUAACUGUCCUUCUGGAAGUGGAACUCAUCAUGAUGCUGCAAAUUGUUCUUCUUAUCACAAGACGUUGAGUAUCAAACGAGCUUGGCAAAGGAAGUCGAAAGCCGCAAAAUACCUCUUGAAACAUCUUCAGAAAAAAUAUCAAUCAAGCAAGUCAGGCUGAACAGUUUGGCAGAAGGCAUGUUCUGAAUUCAAAUGCUUAGGGACCAAAUUAGGCCGAAGAUAAACUUGUAACAAGGUAGCGUCAUAAUCCACCCAGAGGCGACUCUUGUUUAUGGUCAUCCACCAACCAGAAACCAUAGUCGCGAAAUCUCUUUAUCUUCUUCUCAAAACCAACUAUAUAAUUGUUGUGAAUUAUGACAUGCUUUCCUUUAGUUUCCUUGACCCAUGUUUUGUUCUUGAAAUAUAAACCGCCUGUAGGAAAUGCUUCUUGAGGAAGCAGGUACAGAUCGGCCUGCAAUGAGGAAAAUCAUGAUGUCUUUAGGACAAUUGAAGCAGAACAUUUGCGAACAGAAGUGAACUAGAAGGAAGUGAGAAAACUGCAACAUACCUCUUUAGCAUUCUUCAUUAAAGCCCAGUUAAAAGCAGGUUGAUCAUUAGAUUUCUU